rnacentral:rRNA from 1 species
UACGUAGGCAGCAAGCGUUGUUCGGAGUUACUGGGCGUAAAGGGUGUGUAGGCGGUCUUCUAAGUUUGGUGUGAAAUCUCCCGGCUCAACUGGGAGGGUGCGCCGAAAACUGGGAGGCUAGAGUACUGGAUGGGAGAGUGGAAUUCCUGGUGUAGCGGUGAAAUGCGUAGAUAUCGGGAGGAACACCUGUGGCGAAAGCGGCUCUCUGGACCACAACUGACGCUGAGGCGCGAAAGCUAGGGGAGCAAACAGG